CAACAUUGGGCAUCAUUGAAAAUUGCGAGUUCUUUCGGUGUGGAUUUUCGCCGACCUCCUCCGAUCUGUCGACUUUGGUGGGCGAUUAGCGUGAAAUACAUUUCGCAGAAGUCAAGUGGAUAACGCUUGUGUUUGGCGUUUGCUUUCGAGGAGUGAAAUGUCGACGCAAAAGGCCCGGAGACGGCAGCAAUCAGUCUACGCUUCGCCCGACGCCCGUUUCAUAAACAUGGUGUCACUCGCAGCCGGAAUGCAGAAAGCCACAAGAAACUCGAACCCGGACACGAAUUUCACGCCAACUACAGUGGAAUAGAAUUGCGCACAGCCAAGAACGAAGAAUGGGCGUCUGUGAAAAUUUUUCGUGGGAUACAAUCAUCGCACGUAUGGCUGAGCAAAACCAACAACGGGACACGUGAACUGUACAUUGCCAGGACAGGAAAGAGCAAGCUUAAGAACGUGUCUCUGUAACCCCGUGGAACAUAUCGGCUGCAAGUAAUGUUACUCGGAAUAAACUGGUUGAUAUCAGUAAAGGCUAUUUUUAUUCACAAGUCACAAGUCUCCAGAAUUACAGCUGGCACUACCCACAGUUAUCAAUCGACUUUGCGAGAAUAAAACAAGCUUUCUUUCUU